CUCAUUUAAAAAGUGCAGUGACCUCAGUUUUCACACAUAAUGUUAUUUUGCAUGCUAUUCUGUGACUAGCCAUAGACUUAGAACAACCUAGGUAUUUACCAUCUGUGUUUAAAAGAGUAGAACCCACUUCCGGCGUAGCCACAGCGGCUAAUGCUACUACCAACCCAUCACAGCUGCUGCCAUUAGAGCUUGUGGACAAAUGUAUAGGAUCAAGAAUUCACAUUGUGAUGAAGAGUGAUAAGGAAAUUGUUGGUACUCUUCUAGGAUUUGAUGACUUUGUCAAUAUGGUACUGGAAGAUGUCACUGAGUUUGAAAUCACACCAUAAGGAAGAAGGAUUACUAAAUUAGACCAGAUUUUGCUAAAUGGAAAUAAUAUAACAAUGCUGGUUCCUGGAGGAGAAGGACCUGAAGUGUGAAUGAGUUUCCUUGACUUAUGCUAGAUUCUGUUUUGUCUCUUAAUGACAAGAAAAUGGAAUUUUUUUCCCCCCACCUUCUAAUGUUUAAAUCCCAUAAAGCUAAGUUUCCCGUUAAAGGGAAGUGCUUUGAAGGUGUGUACCCAUUUUUGUAAGUUAAUCAUGAUUAUCCUGGAAAAAGAAGAAAAGAGCUUCUUCUCUGAAGACAAGAAUAAAGGUGUUUUUGGUUAAAAAAAAA